CCAAAUUAAACUGAGUAAUAUGGAAAAUUUUGUUCUAAUUUAUCUCUUUAAAGUAGAAUAACUCAAAUAAGUGGGUGCCGGUACUCAUGGAUUUUAAACAUUUACAUAAACAUUUCACAAAAAUAAGUAAUAUUUCAGUGAGAAAUUAGACUGUUGUCUAGGUGUUAGUUAGCUCUACGUAUAAUAGGAUACAGUCGAUAUAUUCAAGUCAGCUGUAGGUAGAGUAGGUGCUUCUGACUCGAGUGUCCUCCCAUGUGUAGUCAGGAACAGGAAAACGGACGUUGUCUGUUCUUCUUUCACUUGUGAGAGGCAGCAGUGCAGAAAUGCAUGAGGACUGGAUCGCUUGUAUUGUUGUGCUCCUGUCUUUUUCUCCAACCUUUUCCUGCUCUCACUCCAAAGAUGGGGAAAAAAACAGCUUAUGCAUCAAAGACAAGAACCUGGUGAUACGGACAGUGAUGUCAGAUGCUUCCAAUGCUUCCAUCAACUGCCCAGGUCUGGACGUUAAUAAGGAGAACGUUCGUAUCACCCUAUACAAGGAGACAGAGCUGCAUUUUGCAGAUUUCCAAAAGACUAAAAUAACAAACACAUCAAAGGAAACGCAAAGGUUUAGUGUCUAUGUUGAGAAUGACACUACUGUAGAUUAUGUGAUAGACAAGCCUCAAUUCAAUGACACAGGCUUGUACAACUGCACACUUGCACAUGGAGAUACUGCCAAAACAACUCACACUUUUCUUCUUGUUACAGAUCCAGGACUUCAGGGCUGUCUUCAUGAGGAACUGUCAGUAUCUUGGCUACUUCUUGCUGCAGGCUGCGGAUUACUGGCUUUGUAUAACUUUAUCACCACAGUUGUCAUCUGCUCCUUUGCUUGGAAACUCAAGCAUCAGGAUACACCGCAGAAUGAUUACUUCAACACAAGGCCAGGAGAGUUCUCAAGAGUUAAAUAAGUUCAGCACCAGCUCCAGCUGCCACCCAUCCACUGGUCAUACCAGUUCACUUGUACCUGACCAAGUGACUAUGUCCUGUCACUUUAAUAAAAACAUUGUCCUGUUCAUCCAAGUUUCUAUAUGAAUAUGUAUGUAAUUUAUUAAAAUUCUUUGUAAAUAUGGACUUAUUGGAAGAACUGUUCAAUAAAGCAAAGUGUGUGAAUUUACUCGAUUGUGUUUAUUUCUAUUAUUUAAACAUGUUGAUGUAAUAUUUUUAUUUCACCUUUUAUCCAAUCAGUACUACAAUAAAAAAUAGAUAUCUUAGCAAGUGAAAACAUCUUGCAUGUAGGCAUUUUUUUUUUUUGGCAGAUAGAUUUUUUU
ensembl:lncRNA